CAGCAGCCACGGUAAUACAGAGGGUGCGAGCGUUAAUCGGAUUUACUGGGCGUAAAGCGUGCGUAGGCGGCUUUUUAAGUCGGAUGUGAAAUCCCUGAGCUUAACUUAGGAAUUGCAUUCGAUACUGGGAAGCUAGAGUAUGGGAGAGGAUGGUAGAAUUCCAGGUGUAGCGGUGAAAUGCGUAGAGAUCUGGAGGAAUACCGAUGGCGAAGGCAGCCAUCUGGCCUAAUACUGACGCUGAGGUACGAAAGCAUGGGGAGCAAACAGGAUUAGAUACCCGGGUAGUCCCUGUCUCUUAUAA
rnacentral:rRNA from 1 species